rnacentral:sRNA from 1 species
AUGGAAGUGAUCAUUCAUCCAAGGGUUCUUAAGAGCGAGGGCUGAGGGAUUCCUCACCCUCCUAUGCUGCCUGUGCUUGGUCAUUUUCUAUGCUGACUACAACAUGAAGCUUUUGCUCUGAAAGCUAGCAAAGUUUAUGGCGAGUGCAUAUCUGGCAAACCGGCAAGUCACAGAACGGCACGCUCACGAGUUU